rnacentral:tRNA from 1 species
AGUAGAAUGGCUGAAGAUAAGGUGAUAGAUUGUAAAUCUAUUUAUGAAUGAAAAUUCUUUUACU